UGCCAGCAGCCGCGGUAAUACGAAGGGGGCAAGCGUUGUUCGGAAUCACUGGGCGUAAAGCGCACGUAGGCGGAUCGUUAAGUCAGGGGUGAAAUCCCGGGGCUCAACCCCGGAACUGCCCUUGAUACUGGUAGUCUUGAGUUCGAGAGAGGUGAGUGGAAUUCCGAGUGUAGAGGUGAAAUUCGUAGAUAUUAGGAAGAACACCAAUGGCGAAGGCGACUUUCUGGCUCGUAACUGACGCUGAGGCACGAAAGCGUGGGGAGCAAACAGGAUUAGAUA
rnacentral:rRNA from 1 species